rnacentral:lncRNA from 1 species
AACAACUUCAGACAUUUUUGGACGGUGGACCGGAAGGAUUUGAGUGCAUAACAAAGCCACUUGGAGCAUCUCUCCUACGUCAAUCCUGUCAUAGUUGCUACCUAGUUCUCUGUCCACUAGUACUUCCACUUUCUUUUCUUGUUGAAUUUUCUUCACCUGUGCACAACACAUUGCAAAUGUCUCCAUCAUACAUACAUAAAACUACUAUGAAUGUUAGCAUAACACAUUUAUAUAUAUGUGUGUAUGGUCUAUCGAGAGAACUAACCCACUCAAGCAUUGCUCCUUUUUGACCAACAGUUUUUCCAAACUCCAGAGCUCUCAUUCCAGUAAUGAGUUCUAUCAAGAGAAUUCCGAAUCCAAACACAUCGGUUUUCUCCGAAGACUGACCAGUCGAGAGGUAUUCCGGU